CAGAAAGAAGAAGAAAAAAA
rnacentral:sRNA from 1 species